rnacentral:rRNA from 1 species
AUUGAACGCUGGCGGCAGGCUUAACACAUGCAAGUCGAGCGGAGAUGAGGUGCUUGCACCUUAUCUUAGCGGCGGACGGGUGAGUAAUGCUUAGGAAUCUGCCUAUUAGUGGGGGACAACAUUCCGAAAGGAAUGCUAAUACCGCAUACGCCCUACGGGGGAAAGCAGGGGAUCUUCGGACCUUGCGCUAAUAGAUGAGCCUAAGUCGGAGUAGCUAGUUGGUGGGGUAAAGGCCUACCAAGGCGACGAGCUGUAGCGGGUCUGAGAGGAUGAUCCGCCACACUGGGACUGAGACACGGACCAGACUCCUACGGGAGGCAGCAAUGGGGAAUAUUGGACAAUGGGCGGAAGCCUGAUCCAGCCAUGUCGCGUGUGUGAAGAAGGCCUUUUGGUUGUAAAGCACUUUAAGCGAGGAGGAGGCUACCUGGAUUAAUACUCUAGGAUAGUGGACGUUACUCGCAGAAUAAGCACCGGCUAACUCUGUGCCAGCCGCCGCAGUAAUAC